rnacentral:rRNA from 1 species
GGCGUCUUAGCAUGCAAGUCGGACGGUAGACAGGGGCUUGCCCCUGUUGAGAGUGGCGGACUGGUGAGUAACGCGUGGGUGACCUACCAUUUGGGCGGGGAUAGCCGUUAGAAAUAGCGGGUAAUACCGGAUAAGGUUAUCGUGCUAUGGCAUGGUAAAGAAAGGAGCUAAGGCUCCGCCAGAUGAUGGGCCCACGUCCCAUUAGCUAGUUGGGGGGGUAAAGGCCCACCAAGGCGAUGAUGGGUAGCCGGCCUGAGAGGGUGAACGGCCACAUUGGGACUGAGAUACGGCCCAAACUCCUACGGGAGGCAGCAGCUAAGAAUAUUCCGCAAUGGGCGAAAGCCUGACGGAGCGACGCCGCGUGGAUGAGGAAGGCCGAAAGGUUGUAAAAUUCUUUUGCCGGGGAGGAAUAAGCGGGGUAGGGAAUGACCCUGUGAUGACGGUAACCGGCGAAUAAGCCCCGGCUAAUUACGUGCCAGCAGCCGCGGUAACACGUAAGGGGCGAGCGUUGUUCGGAAUUAUUGGGCGUAAAGGGCGCGUAGGCGGAUAUGCAAGUCUGGCGUGAAAGGCGGGAGCUUAACUCCCGGACUGCGUUAGAAACUGUGUAACUAGAGUUUAGGAGGGGGAGUUGGAAUUCCUGGUGUAGGGGUGAAGUCUGUAGAUAUCAGGAAGAACACCGGUGGCGAAGGCGAACUUCCAGCCUAUAACUGACGCUGAGGCGCGAAAGUGCGGGGAGCAAACAGGAUUAGAUACCCUGGUAGUCCGCACUAUAAACGAUGCACACUAGGUGUUGGACCGAGCGGUUCAGUGCCGGAGCGAACGUGAUAAGUGUGCCGCCUGGGGAGUAUGCCCGCAAGGGUGAAACUCAAAGGAAUUGACGGGGGCCCGCACAAGCGGUGGAGCAUGUGGUUUAAUUCGAUGAUACGCGAGGAACCUUACCUGGGUUUGACAUGGAGGGGAGGGAGCAGAGAUGUUACCGCCGGGCAACCGGCCCUUCACAGUGCUGCAUGGCUGUCGUCAGCUCGUGCGUGAGGUGUGGGUAGUCCCGCACGAGCGCACCCCUACUGCAGUACCAGCAGUCAUGCUGGGGACUCUGGCGGAACUGCCG